ensembl:lncRNA
CGCUUGCUCGUCCAUGUUUGUGGCUACAGCACUCACAACAACUAAGAAAUGGAGUCAGCCUGAAAUCUAAGGAGACGUGUGUAGAACCUUCUCUGAGGGGUGACAAGUUGAGAACUGGAGGAUGAGAACACCAUGGAGCUUAGAAAAACAAAACCAAUUAUAACUUCAAACAAGAACUGGAAUCGAUGCUAACGAGGCAGAGAGAUCAAACAGCACAGGGGCACUUGGUAGAAAGAAGAAGCCUUCUCCACCUGCAAGUCUGAAUCAUUCUUGUUUUUUGUUUUUCAGUACAGGGUUUCUCUGUAGCUUUGGAGCCUUCCUGGAACUUUCUCUGUAGACCAGGCUGGCCUUGAACUCACAGAGGUCCACCUGCCUCUGCCUCCCAAGUGCCACCAUUGCCGGGCUGUAAACCAUUCUUUUCUUGCUUACAGACAGGAAACUGAAUCCCAGCAAGGCAAGGAGACUUUAAGUCCACAUGAAUACCCUUGAAAAUGAGGCAAUAACAACUGUAGACUGCAUAUGAAAAAAUGAGCCAAGAGUCACGUCUAAACUUCAUCAACCGUUUCCUCACUAUUGCAGCCCCACCAGCAUCUCCUUCCCAGACUGGAGCACCAUCACCUCUCACCAUUGCUGAGCAGCAAGAAGAUAAAGCAAAGUCUAGUUUCUGCCCUGGCAAGCCCUCCAGCACUCUCCAGUGCAGCUUAUAGUGGCCAUUGUGCUGUCCACGUAGUUCAACCUUGCUUGUCUUCAUCCCAGACUUUGUUCUGUGUGAGCAUGGACAGAUUCAUUAACUUUAUUCAGUUUUGAAGUUGGAAUAAUGCCAACCUCAUAGAGGUCCAAGAAUGAGAAAAAAAAACCUGCUUAUUAUAAUUGAAAUGUCUCUGAAAAGAUGUGGCCACACUAAAUGAUUAUAAAAUGUUCAAUAACCUACAUAUGCUACAUAUAGUAUGUAAAAUUAUUAUCACUGAAUUGUAUUCCCAUUCUUAUCUAUCUGUUGAUACAUUUAUUCAAUAAAAUCUUAUUAUACAAUCAGCUUGAGCAAUCACUAUGUUGGCAUAUGGUUGCAAGCAGUCCAGAUAGUAUUUCUUAUAUUAGGCAGGUCUUCUUGAAAAACACAAACAAAAGAAUGUAUUUUUCUCUAGAAAGUUUCAAUGAAAGGAAUCAGAGAAAAUGGCCAAAUUUGCAGAUUGAAUUGUAAGUAUGAGAGAGCCCAGAAGACUGGGGUAACCGUCGGGAAGUCAGCAAGCUUCGAGUCAGCUGGGUUUGGUUUGAGAUGGAAAGAAGCCAGUGUCCUGGCCCAAAGGCAGUCAGAGAAGAAGAAUUUUCCUGUCCGAGGGAGGCAAGACUUUUCACUCCAAUCGAGUUGGCAGAUAAAGCUAAGCAUCACAUUCCUCAUGAAGCUUCCCAUCCGUUUAGGAGAAACCAUGAUUCACAUAUAAUCACAAAGCUUUCAAGGGGUCUGAGUCUAACAAAGCAAGCUGCCAGGUGUGAAGAUAAAGGUAGAACCAUGUGACCAUGAAACUGUGACAUUCAUAGACUUGAGGCCAGGAACCUCCAGGCAGUAGGGAGUGCAUAGACCUCAAGACCUAGGAGGUUCUGAGGAUCCGAAAGGGCUGUGUGGCUGAAACACAGAAAGGAGGGGGUUGUGUGUGAGACAUGAACAGACAGAGUGAGAACCUUGGGAAACACAUCGACUCUUUUGAGGAGGAGGCUCAGAAGUAUGGGGCCAGUACAGGAGGCUGAAGGGAUGUCCGUGUUAAAGAAAUGCAGUCUAUUUAAAACAUGGUAAGUCCAUUAGUAAUUUGAUCUCUCGGGUUGUGAGGGAUCUCAUACCAUUUUGUUUAAUAUUUGAACACAUAGACAGAUGUUAACUGAUUAUUGUGACUCUAUACUCUUCUAUAUGAACAUUUCUGCAUUGCAUCUGAUAAAUUUGUUUUUUUUAUAGCUGUACAAUAUUCCAUCAUGGUUCCCACCAUGGAAUCUCUGGUUCUCAUGUACCCUUCUGUACUUCUUGCUUCUUUGAGUUUUUCCUUAAAAACAGUACUGUGGAGAACAUAUUUUGAACUUGUUUUCUUAUGAGCUCUUCUCUGAAGUUACAUUCCCCUCAUGGGUCUCUUAUCUGCAGGUCAUGGCCUCCUCUGUUUCCAGUCUAUCGUGUCAUGCCCCACUCAUCUUGCCUGGGCUGAGGAAUUCCAAGAAUUCCUGUCAUUUCUAGGGCAUUAGAUACAGAGAGAAUGCAGCAAGAAGAGGACCAAGCUCAUGAGGAUAGAGAAUCCCUUCAGUCCCAGUGCACUCAUCCUUGGGAUGUGGCCUCUGCUACAGAUUAGUCCUGCACUUGGCAUCCUGUGUCCCUUAGCUGGGAAGACAGCUUAUUCUCCUUCAUUUUAUAGACUCCAUGAGCACCAGUUAGGGUUCCGGUAAGAAUGUGUUAGGAAGCUGCAACAGAGACAACUGCUCAUAAAGCACCAUGAAUGUAAUUAGCCAAAGUUAACAUAACAUCAUCUGCAACAGAUGCCAAACCCCCAGUUUGCCAAUAUUUUUAUUUCUUCCUUUAUGUGAUAUAUUCAUUCUAAAACUUUUGAUGUUGAGAAAUUGGCCAGGGACAGUUUCUUCAGGCCAAGCAGAAUCAGGAGAAUUCAUCCAGUCCUCUUUCUUGGCCUGAUCAUAGUUUGCCCACUCAGCUAAGCACAUACUGCUGAGAUGGACUAAGAAGCAAAUGAAGAAAACUGAAUAACUAUGUUGCUUGAUUUAGGCUAGGCAUGCAGUCAAUACUUGGCUCAUUGGAGAAGAAUUACAUUCCUGGUAUCAAACAGUAUCAUAUGGUCACAAUGUGGGGUCUUGAUAACUAAGAAUAAAUUCCAAAGGAUUUCCUCAGUGUAUCCAGAAAAAACCUACAAGACAAGAAUAGAACAUCAUAACCAUUUAAUCCUCUUCCCUGAAAGGGGCAUACCAGAGAAGAAAUAGACUCCAGUGAGACUCAUGUAGACUCUUAGCCAUUUGGGUCAGAAUGACCACCCAUGGCUAUCAGCAAUGUCUGCAUCUAAUAA